rnacentral:rRNA from 1 species
UGGUUGUCGUCAGCUCGUGUCGUGAGAUGUUGGGUUAAGUCCCGCAACGAGCGCAACCCUCGACCUUAGUUGCCAGCAUUCAGUUGGGCACUCUAAGGUGACUGCCGGCUAAAAGUCGGAGGAAGGUGGGGAUGACGUCAAAUCAUCAUGCCCCUUAUGACCUGGGCUACACACGUGCUACAAUGGGCGGUACAAAGGGUCGCGAACCCGCGAGGGGGAGCCAAUCCCAAAAGGCCGCUCUCAGUUCGGAUUGCAGGCUGCAACUCGCCUGCAUGAAGCCGGAAUCGCUAGUAAUCGCGGAUCAGCAUGCCGCGGUGAAUACGUUCCCGGGCCUU